GACGAAAAUUUGAAGAAACAUGAAUGUGUCCCUAGUACACGGAUGCCUCAUCUACACUAUCAUUUUCUAUGUUUAGUGGACUAUGAAAAUGGGAUAAAACUGUAAUUUGGCAUUAGAAUUAAAAAGAUCAUACCAUAGGGAAAAUGUGUACUAAGUUUCAAUUUUAUUUAACUUGAAGCUGGACAAACAAACAGACGAACGGACGAACGUACGCACAGACCAGAAAAAACAUAAUGCCAAUAAAUGGAGCAUUAAAAACAUUAAUAAUACAUACGAAUAUUUGGUAAUCGAGCCCAUGUGUAUGGUUCCAGAGGAAGCA
rnacentral:lncRNA from 1 species